rnacentral:rRNA from 1 species
GACGAACGCUGGCGGCGUGCUUAACACAUGCAAGUCGAGCGGUAGGGCCCUUUCGGGGGUACACGAGCGGCGAACGGGUGAGUAACACGUGGGUGACCUGCCUCUAGCUCUGGGAUAAGCCCGGGAAACUGGGUCUAAUACUGGAUAUGACUCCAUGACGCAUGUUGUGGGGUGGAAAGCCUUGUGCGGCUAGAGAUGGGCCCGCGGCCUAUCAGCUUGUUGGUGGGGGAUGGCCUACCAAGGCGACGACGGUAGCCGGCCUGAGAGGGCGACCGGCCACACUGGGACUGAGACACGGCCCAGACUCCUACGGGAGGCAGCAGUGGGGAAUCUUGCGCAAUGGGCGAAAGCCUGACGCGAGCGA